GUCAGUCACCAGCUCCUGCUUCCAGGAUCUUGCCCUGUCUGGGUUCCUGCUCUAACUUCCUUCAGUGGUGAACAGCAAUGUUGAAGUGUAGACUUACAGUCUGGAGGCAGGUGUUCACUGAGGCGCGCAAUGUUGCAGCGAGCAGGAAGACAGAGGUGUUAGAUUCAUGAUAAACUUCUAUCCAGGUCAAGGAGGAAUCCAUUCUCCAGUCGUUAAAGUGGCGCACGGUACUGUGAGAGAAACCGAAGGAAACUUGAGCGCUAACACGUUUGCGGGACACCUCCGUGCGUGCUGAGAAGGGGACACCAGAGGGAAAGGUGCAAACUUGAGUAACUGCGGGGAGGAAGCCCGAGCCGUGGGGUCUCAGAGGGCGGGUGACGCAGCCGGCCGCGACUCGGUGGCAAGUCCUUUAGAGUCCCUGGCCGAGCGGCGGGGCUGCCGAGCCCUGCACGGACUCCGGGGGCGGAACCGGGCACGCGGGAACCGAGCGGGGGCCGGCGGUCUGCUACCCGUUCCCUCCGGCCCCCAAGACACGCCAUCAAGUCGGGGAGCCGCCGUCAAAGCCGCCCGGAGGGCACGGGGCCCGGUGGAGGAGCUCGCCGUCCUCCCGGGCACCGGGCACGCUUCUGCAUCAGCCCCUGUCUUCCGCCGCGGCCACACGGCCGGACGAAAUCCCCGAG
rnacentral:lncRNA from 1 species